rnacentral:lncRNA from 1 species
UAAAAUCAAACUAAUACUCAAUCCUCGAUAGCGGCGCCAAAAACUUGUUCACAAAAUUAUUCUUUCGAUUUGAUCUGGAAGUGUACGGUUCGUAACAGGUAAUAAAAUGAAUUUUAGAGUCCGAAUAUCGUCCCACAGAGAUAGAGUAACUUAAUUUUAUAUAUCUCAGCCUUAAUCGAAAACCAAAUGUGCUAUUGCAUGUGAAUUUAAUGAAUUAAAAUGCAAAGUUACGUUUUAAAUGCAAGAUUGAUGCAAUUAAUGAAUGUAAAGUGCACUAGGAUCACGAAUCCCCAAGCAAUGCUCAAUUUAACCCUAGUUCUAUAAUUUGACAACACGUUGAAAUUAUGAAGAAUCAAUGCCCCUAUAUCUUUCCAACAACCUCUCUCGAGCAAAGUUGAAUCUACUCUCAUAUACUACCGAACUAUAUCUCUAUGACGGGUGCAAAUAUAUAAAAAUGCAUGUAGUUUUGUGAGCACUUAAAAAUUCACGUAGAGCAUAAAGGUAUAUCCCUAUACCCUAUCGGACCCUACAAUUGCCUUGUCGAACAUAUUCCCCUUCUCUCGAAUGCAAGAAAUGGAUUACCACACACAAUUACAAGCCCAAUAAUUAAGGAAGAAAUUAAAUGCAUAUAAACCAUUCAAAAUAAUCAAACGUGUUUUAAUGUCAAAAAUAUGAAACAAGAAAUUACGAAUCACGUUAUAAGGUUCAUUGAUCUCCUAGCAUAUAAAAUCUAGCCUAACAUGAUGGGAAGAAGAAAACAAAUUAAAUAAUGAAGAAAAGACAUCACCAAUUUAAAUCUUGAAUUGAAUCCUUGCGUCUUGAUGUCAAUCUCCUCGUUCUUACCUUGUUCUCCUCUCUAAAAACCCUUAUGAAUGUGUUAUAAUGUGUGAUGUAUGUUUUUCGAAGCUCCUAGAGCUUUAAAAGACUUCUCAAUAUUUGUUUUCAUAAGAAUUUCAAUCAGAAAAGGAAAUCAGAUUUUUCUCGCCGCGAUUGACCCAGGUGCAGAACCCAGGCAGUCGCCCAUGCAUGGAUUUUUGCCUCGGGAAUUAAAUUUUGAAUUUAUAACUAGGCCAUCGCUCAGUUAUAAAAAAAUCCCGAAUGUUACAUUUUAGCCCCCGAAGUCGAUUCUUGAUUUUUUCAAGUCCGUUCUCUUAUGUUUUCAACCCUUUCAAUUGCAUCCAAUUGAACCUGAAACAUCUUUAAUCUUCAUUUUGUGAUCCGAAUCAACUAUUAAAAUGUUGCAAUUUAGUCCUCAUACUUUGGAUUUCCUCCUUUUUCUUUUCGAAUUGCUUAGAAAUUGAUCUAUUACUGAAAUAAAUGGAAAAUUACC